AAAAGAACUUUGGAGAGAGAGUCAAAGAGACCGUGAAACCGUUAGGAGGGAAACGAAUGCAGCCAGAGAGNCCUGAUCAGGUUCAGGGGAGGCGAGAGGGGCCGUCGGCGGAGGGAACUUCGAUCGGAGGCCCUCCGCGUUCGGUCUCCCUCGCUUCCCUGCAUUCCCGUUUGAGGGUCAGCCAACGGCAGUUUCGCCUGGCCCAUAAAGGUCGUCGGGCAGGUGCCUUUCCGGGCCCACUCCGGUGGUCUCGGGGAGAACUUAGAGCCGGCGUCCCAGCAGGCCAAGGGGGACUGAGGAGAGCUGCGACCGUUCGCACGGCAGUGCAGGCUCCCCUUCGGGGGGGCCGGGUCGCUCCUGGCGGUGUGGACGGAGCGGCGGGGACUGUUCGCAGUGUUCGCCGACUCUCGGGCGCUCCGACGGGAGGUCGGCCACGACUUUGUACUGCGGCCGUUGGCUCGAGGAUGGCUUCAUCCGACCCGUCUUG
rnacentral:sRNA from 1 species